rnacentral:rRNA from 1 species
GGUUCAUUCAAAUUUCUGCCCUAUCAACUUUCGAUUGUAGUUUAGUGGACUACAAUGGUUUCAACGGGUAACGGGGAAUUAGGGUUCGACUCCGGAGAGGGAGCCUGAGAAACGGCUACCACAUCCAAGGAAGGCAGCAGGCGCGCAAAUUACCCAAUCCCGACCGGGGAGGUAGUGACAAUAAAUACUGAUACAGGGCUCUUUUGGGUCUUGUAAUUGGAAUGAGUACAAUUUAAAUCCCUUAACGAGGAACAAUUGGAGGGCAAGUCUGGUGCCAGCAGCCGGGUAAUUCCAGCUCCAAUAGCGUAUAUUAAAGUUGUUGCAGUUAAAAAGCUCGUAGUUG